rnacentral:rRNA from 1 species
UACGGGGGGGGCAAGCGUUGUUCGGAAUUACUGGGCGUAAAGGGCUCGUAGGUGGCCAACUAAGUCAGACGUGAAAUCCCUCAGCUUAACUGGGGAACUGCGUCUGAUACUGGAUGGCUUGAGUUUGGGAGAGGGAUGCGGAAUUCCAGGUGUAGCGGUGAAAUGCGUAGAUAUCAGGAGGAACACCGGUGGCGAAGGCGGGACUCUGGGCCGAUACUGACGCUGAGGAGCGAAAGCGUGGGGAGCAAACAGG